rnacentral:rRNA from 1 species
GACGAACGCUGGCGGCGCGCUUAACACAUGCAAGUCGGACGGAAAGGCCUGCUUUCCCUUGUGGAUUGCGGGUACUCGAGUGGCGAACGGGUGAGUAACACGUGAGUGAUCUGCCCCCAACUUGGGUAUAAGCCUGGGAAACUGGGUCUAAUUCCCGAUAGGACUGCAGGGUGGUGCCUGUGGUGGAAAACGAUUUUCUAGUGGUUGGGGAUGAGCUCGCGGCCUAUCAGCUUGUUGGUGGGGUAAUGGCCUACCAAGGCGGCGACGGGUAGCCGGCCUGAGAGGGUGGACCGCCACAUUGGGACUGAGAUACGGCCCAGACUCCUACGGGAGGCAGCAGUGGGGAAUAUUGCACAAUGGGCGGAAGCCUGAUGCAGCGACGCCGCGUGGGGGAUGACGGCCUUCGGGUUGUAAACUCCUUUCGACCGCGAGGAAGCCACCUGGUUGGAAGGGUGGUGACGGUAGUGGUAGAAGAAGCACCGGCUAACUACGUG